UCGGAAAAACAAAAAUUGAAAUAAAGAAAAUAGAAGGAUAAUUGGUGGGUGCAUGUAGAUGGUUUGAAUGUAAAAGUGAAAAAAGUGAAGGGAGAAGGAGAAGGAUAAGGAUGGAAUUUAAGGGUGAUAUUUUUGGAGUAUUAUUUACUGAUGAUGCUGGGAAAUUGGGUAAGCUAUGCAUUUACAUUGACUAGAUAAAGCAACAAUGGCGUCUUGGCUGACCCACUAAUCAUACUUUUUUUGAACUAACAAUAGCGAUUGAACCAAUUGAGUGGACAAGCUUCUUCAACAUUUAUUCAACAUUAUUUCUCACUCGCUUUUGGAUUUCUUUUAUUACGAGAAUUAUAAUGAUACACUUUUACGUUUAUUUAACAUAUAAUAAAAU
rnacentral:lncRNA from 1 species